rnacentral:rRNA from 1 species
UACAGAGGUCCCAAGGCGUUGUUCGGAUUCACGUGGGCGUUAAAGGGUGCGAUUAGGGUUGGUACAGGGUAAGGUCUGAUGGAUGAAACUCUGGGCUUAACCCAGAAAUGGCAGUUGGAUACUAUCUGGCUAGAGGAGUGGGAGGGGGACGUGGAAUACUUGGUGUAGCAGUGAAAUGCGUAGAUAUCAAGUGGAACACCAGUGGCGAAGGCGAGUCCCUGGACACUCCUGACACUGAGGCACGAAAGCUAGGGGAGCAAACAGG